ACAUUAAAAAAAAAAAAAAGAUUUUUAUUUUUACAUAAUCUCGACACCCAACCUGGAGCUCGAACUCACAACCCCAAGAUCGAGAGUCGCAGGCUCCAGUGACUGAGCCGGCCAAGGCACCCCAGGAGAGAUUUUUCUAAGUUCCUCCAGGAGGCGGUGGCUCAUAGGCUAAGAGAAAACAGAAGCAGAGAAGGUAGAAGGGGUCGUGAAGAGCUUUCAGGCACCUCCAGACCAGGAGACACGUGCUCUCCACCUGCAGCACUUUGCAGAAGUGACAGGCACCCAGCGCUACAGCAGGGGGAGGCAUCAUGGGGCUCGAUCUGAGCGUGAGGCCCCCGAGCCUAGCGCCAGAGCAGGAGGUCUACUCCUCUUGAAUGGAUCACAUGGGCUUAUCCCUUUUUUUAUUAAGUUUAUUUAUUUAUUUAUUUUGAGAGGGAGAGAGAGAAACCUAAGCAGGCUCUGCAAUGUCAGCGCAGAGCUUGAUGCGGGGCUCGAACCCACGAACCGCGAGAUCAUGACCUGAGCCGAAGUCGGACGCUUUACCGACUGAGCCACCCAGGCGCCCCCCGAAACAAAUGUUUUUCAUAAAAAUAAAAAGAGAUGUUGAAAGCAGACAUUCUUGCCUUGUCCCUGAUCUUAAGGGGAAGGUACUCAGUCUCACCAAAAGUAUGAUAUUGCGCCCCGGGUUUUCAUCUUUUAUCAGGUUGGGAAGAUUCCCUUCUGUUUCUAGUUUACUGAGAAUUUUGUUUGUUUGUUUGUUUUUUAAUGAGAAAUAAAUAUUUUGUCAAUGAUUUUUCUGCAGCUAUUGAGAUGAUCAUAUGUUCUUUUAGUCAAAAAACAGAGUCAAAGACUCUGUUCUUUGACUUUCUAAUGUUAAACCAGCAUUGUGUCCUUGGUGUUACUUUAGCCAUGAAGAAUAUUGGCUGGUAGUUUUAUUUUGUGGUUAAGCACUCUGUCUGGGUUUGGUAUCAGUGUAAGCUGGGAAAUAUUACCUCCUUUUCAAGUCUCUGGCAGAAUUUGUGUAAAUUACUAAUAGUUCUUCUUUAUACACUUGGUAGAAUUCAGCAGGAAGGCAUGUGAGCCUAGAGUUUUCUUUGUGAAACGGCACAAACUAGACAUUGUUGUUGUUGUUUUAAAUGUUUAUCUAUUUUUGAGAGAGAGAGAGAGAGAGAGAGAAGGGGUGGGGCAGAGAGAGGGGGACAGAGGAUCUGAAGCGGGCUCUCUGCUGUCAGCACAGAGCCCAAUUUGGGGCUCAAACCCAUGAACUGCAAGAUAAUGACCUAAGCCAAAGUCGGACACUUAACUGAGCCACCCAGGCGCCCCUAAACAUGUCAUUAAUUGCUAUUUUACAUGGAUGACACUGGCUUAGAUUCUUGCGUUUCAAUUUUUCUUUUUUUUUUUUUUUAAUGUUUAUUUAUUUUUGAGAGAGAGAGACACAGAGCACCAGCGGGAGAGGGGCAGAGAGAGAGGGAGACACAGAAUCUGAAGCAGGUUCCAGGCUCUGAGCUGUCAGCACAGAGCCCAACGCGGGGCUCGAACCCACCAACCGCCGAUAAUGACCUGAGCCGAAGUCAGACGCUCAACCAACUAAGCCACCCAGGCGCCCCUUGAAAAUAUAUUUAAAAAAAAAAAAAAAAGCAGCACACUGGUCCUUUGUUCACCACUCUGCCUGAACUAGAUUCCAAUUCCCAUUUUCCAGGCACUGUGUAAGUCCUUUCGAUCUUUGUAGGACUCCGGGGAAGGGAGGAAGCCCUCCAAAACAGGAGUGAGAUUUCAUUUCUUUCUACUCUGAUGAGCAGAGACUCAGGGAAAAAUAAGAUUCAAGUUAGAAAGAAAAGGAAGUAUUUCUUACGUUGGCACAUAAGAUAAAAUUCACAAUCACUGCGUCGGAAUAAAAUAGAAUUCUUAAACUUAAA